GUGACAGCAAGUGUCAACGUGGAAAAAGAGGCGCUCAUCAGGAGUAUUCAGUUUCUAAAGGAGCGAGGCAUAAAGCUGAACUCCAUAACAACAGACCGUCACCCUGCCAUAAGAAAGUACCUUGAGAAGGAAGAACCAGCGAUAAGGCUCUUUUUCGACAUUUGGCAUAUCUCAAAAAGUGUGAAAAAAAAAAGCUGACCGCGAUCAGCAAAAGCGCCAACUGCCACAGCCUAGAGAGGUGGAUCCAGGCAACGUCUAACCACCUGUACUGGUGUGCAAAAGCCAGUGGAGGAGAUGCUCGGCUGACAACAGAUGCAUGGCUAAGCAUCCAGAAUCAUGUUGUGGAUAUUCACAGUCACCAUAAUGGAUCCUACCCACGCUGCCUUCAUGGUCCAAUCACAGAUGGAGACUGGCUUGACUCCGGUAAGAAAAAAAAAAGCAGUAUUGCUUUUUAUGUUUUGGUUUCUUGUUAUACUGCAAUGGUAGAUGUUUAAUCAUAAUACAAUAUGUAAU